rnacentral:rRNA from 1 species
CCUACGGGGUGCAGCAGUGGGGGAUAUUGCACAAUGGGGGGAACCCUGAUGCAGCGACGCCGCGUGGGUGAAGAAGCGCCUCGGCGCGUAAAGCCCUGUCAGCAGGGAAGAAAAUGACGGUACCUGAAGAAGAAGCCCCGGCUAACUACGUGCCAGCAGCCGCGGUAAUACGUAGGGGGCAAGCGUUAUCCGGAUUUACUGGGGGUAAAGGGGGCGCAGACGGCGAUGCAAGCCAGGAGUGAAAGCCCGGGGGCCAACCCCGGGACUGCUCUUGGAACUGCGUGGCUGGAGUGCAGGAGGGGCAGGCGGAAUUCCUGGUGUAGCGGUGAAAUGCGUAGAUAUCAGGAGGAACACCGGUGGCGAAGGCGGCCUGCUGGACUGCAACUGACGUUGAGGCCCGAAAGCGUGGGGAGCAAACAGGAUUAGAUACCCGGGUAGUC